rnacentral:rRNA from 1 species
AACGAACGCUGGCGGCAUGCCUAACACAUGCAAGUCGAACGGUAAGGCCCCUUCGGGGGUACACGAGUGGCGAACGGGUGAGUAACACGUGGGUAACCUGCCCUUCACUGGGGGACAACCGAGGGAAACCUCGGCUAAUACCGCAUAAUGUGCUUUCUCAUAAGUGAAAGCACCAAAACUCCGGUGGUGAAGGAUGGGCCCGCGGCAGAUUAGCUAGUUGGUGGGUAAAGGCCUACCAAGGCAACGAUCUGUAGCUGGUUUGAGAGGACGAUCAGCCACACUGGGACUGAGACACGGCCCAG